CAAGUCGAACGAGAAUGUAGGCUUCGGCCUACUAGUAAAGUGGCGGACGGGUGCGUAACACGUGGGUAAUCUACCUUCCGGCGGGGGACAACAGUCCGAAAGGAUUGCUAAUACCGCAUACGUCAGCGGCGCCUACGGGCGCUGUUGGGAAAGAUGGCCUCUCCUUGGAAGCUAUCACCGGAAGAUGAGCCCGCGCCCCAUCAGCUAGUUGGUGAGGUAAUGGCUCACCAAGGCUUAGACGGGUAGCUGGUCUGAGAGGAUGAUCAGCCACACUGGGACUGCGACACGGCCCAGACUCCUACGGGAGGCAGCAGUGGGGAAUAUUGGGCAAUGGGCGAAAGCCUGACCCAGCCACGCCGCGUGAGUGAUGAAGGCCUUCGGGUCGUAAAGCUCUGUGGGGAGGGACGAACAAAUCUGGGGCUAAUCACCCGGGUCCUGACGGUACCUCCUUAGCAAGCACCGGCUAACCCUGUGCCAGCAGCCGCGGUAAUACAGGGGGUGCAAACGUUGCUCGGAAUCAUUGGGCGUAAAGCGCACGUAGGCGGUUUGUUAUGUCGGAUGUGAAAGCCCUUGGCUCAACUGAGGAAGUGCAUCCGAAACUGGCAAGCUAGAGUACUAAAGAGGGUCGCGGAAUUCCCGGUGUAGAGGUGAAAUUCGUAGAUAUCGGGAGGAACACCGGUGGCGAAGGCGGCGACCUGGGUAGAUACUGACGCUGAAGUGCGAAAGCGUGGGGAGCAAACAGGAUUAGAUACCCUGGUAGUCCACGCCGUAAACGAUGAGUGCUAGAUGUUUCUGGUAUUGACCCCCGAAGGCGUCGUAGCUAACGCGUUAAGCACUCCCCCUGGGGAGUACGGCCGCAAGGCUAAACUCAAGGAAUUGACGGGGGCCGCACAACGGUGGAACAUUUGGUUCA
rnacentral:rRNA from 1 species